UUCUGUGUCAGGACCCAUGUUUCCCGGGCCUUCACAUUGGCGCCGGGAAUCAGGCCCCUGACAUUCCCGCACAUUCCUGGACUGAUAAGCAGGCCGGGGCCGGCCUUGAGACACCAACAGACAAAGGGGGUUUUUGGCGGGCACUAUGCGCGGGUUUUUCACCGAGCGGGAAUUGCAUGUUUGAAUGUGGGAGGAGGGUAUAUAAGCAGGCCGGGGCCGGCCUUGAGACACCAACGGACAAAGGGGGUUUUUGGCGGGCACUAUGCGCGGGUUUUUCACCGAGCAGGAAUUGCAUGUUUGAAUGUGGGAGGAGGGUAUAUAAAGGGACCCGAGGGCAUCACCCAGCACUCUUGGCUUCUUAUGCGUCAGUUAUCCUUCAGUAAACGUUCACCUUGUUUACGCACCGGUCUCGCGUCUUCAUUCUCGAGUGGCUGGAGUGAGCUGACACUUCUGACCCAGAUGAGGGUCCUCUUUGUUAAAAUUUUGGCUGUUUAUUGCCCCAAAUGUGCUGACGGUUAUUUUUCAGUUUGUUUAAAGCUUGAGUUUUAAAAAUGCAGGUCAAAACCAAAGAACACUUAAGUGAACCUAUAAGUCUUGCACAGCUUAUGACAACCAUGGACAGACACCAGGUGAGUAGGGGCUCCUCUCUUUGUAAGUAGAAAUUUGAUAUCUGCCAAACAAAACCAGGUGCAAAUAUCUGCCAGGUGCAAAACAGUAGAUUGUGUGUGUAAAAAUACAGAAGCUGAGUCCAGAGGGAAACUGUUUUCACUACCAGACCAGAGCUUUCACACAAAUCAUUUUGUACACAGUCAUCUCUUAUUUCUCCCAUCCCACACUUGCACAUUUUUCUUGAUUCUAGCAAUCUCAGGGCCCUUCCACACAGCCAUAUAACCCAGAAUAUCAAAGCAGAUAAUCCACAAUAUCUGCUUUGAACUGGAUUAUCUGAGUCCACGCUUCCAUAUAACCCAGUACAAUAUGGGUUUUAGGAAGGAGUCCUAACUGAACAGGAAAACUACAUUCUUUGUUGCUACAGUUGUUGAAUUUCUGAGAACCAGAGCUCCUCGAUGGUAUAUCUCAACUUACCUGGAUAUUUAUCUGCCUCUCUCAGUAAAAUCGUCUCAAAAUAGUUGAAGAUCUUUGUUUUCUAUAACAAUUUUCUGCAAUACAGGGCCCAACUAAAAUACUCUCCAGCAGUUCUAAUUUGGCAAUUUAUUCCAUUUUUUCACAAAUUCUAAGGGCCCUUCCACACAGCCCUAUAUCUCAGAAUGUCAAGGCAGAAAAUCCCACAAUAUCUGCUUUGAACUAGGCUAUCUGAGCGCACACCACCAUAUAUCCUAGUUCAAAGCAGAUAAUGUGGGAUUUUUAUUCAGCCUAAGGCCCCUUCCACACAGCUGUAUAAAAUCCACAUUAUCUGCAUGAAUUGCAUUAUAUAGCAUAUCUCGACUCUGAUAACCCAGUUCAAAUAAUUGUAAUAAUGGAGAACAAAUAAUUUUUACGGAGAUUGUGGCAGGGGAAUGGGAUGAUAUAAAUUUCCCCUCUGUUGUACCAGUGACUAUUGUGCAGUUGUGUGUACAUGUCCACAAAAAGACAUCAUUCGUAUUAAAUGCUUGGUGCACAUUUAAUACUGCAAUUGCUGGAUGUGUCUAUGGUGUUGUAUUAAGUUCUCCAAUCCUGGGUUAUGAUCCCCAGGGCCUUGUCCCCUUUCCUAGUCAGCAGGACAAGGUGAAGUAUCUCAGAGGGAAAGAAUUGCCUUGAAAAGAAAAUAUAUAUAAAAAAAGAAGAAAAUAUAUAAAUUGUAUAAUUACUACAUCUAUCCCAUGCUACAGCCACUUCAGGAUGGCUGCUGUAGACUCUCCAAUGGAUCUACUUGGCCACUUCUUCCCUGUCCAGUAUUUAAGCCAUGGCUAGCCCCAAAGAUCAGCAGGAAGGAGCAAGUGGUCAAUUUGGGGAAAUGUUGAGCUGUCUCAGUACUCGGUACCCCAAGAGCUGCUGGAUGUGAUACUGAAGGAGAGCUGCUUUGUUGCUUUCCCUGUUUUAUUGGGAAUCAGAUUUCCCAGAUAUGUUUGCAUCUUCCUGCAAAUAUUUACUGCAAUUAAUGUUAUUCUCAUAUUCAGGGGUGCAUGUAGGUUGCACUAUUGUUAACGAGGAGCCCCACCCUUUUAUUUUGCCCCAAACGGUUUUAUUUUGCCCCACCCUCACCCCAAAGGUGGAAAACCCUCAAAACUAUUCCUGGAUGAUAGAUUUAGUGUAUUUUAAAUUAAUUGAGUCCUAUUAAACCUAAGAGAUGUACUCUGCAAAGACAUGCACAGAUCUGUUGCUCUGUUGGCCUAUUACUCCUACUAUCACCAUCUUCAUCAUAACCACCAUCAUCACUGUCAUCUCCUUAUUAUUUGGUGAUAAUUAUUGGUAUUUUAUAAUAAUUAUUAUUAUUAUGCUCAUUAUUUUGAUGAUGAAGAUCAGUACCUAACCUGGCAGUUUAAAAAUAAUGAAAGAGAUAGGAAAGGAAAGCUAGCCCAAGUGAAACAGUGAGUAAUGGAGGAAAGCCAUUGUGUAGAAGGGAAUUCACAACCUGAGAGCCCACCAAAACAAGGCACUGUCUCAAGUCCUCACCAAGCAUGCCUGUGAAGGUGGUGAGCUGAGACAAAGCUCUCCUCUGCAGAUCUUAAAGCUUGCACUGGUUUGUGAAAUGAGAUAACUCUCUUUUAGACAGUCUGGACUCGAGCCAUGUAGGCUUGAGAACAAAAUCAGUACUUUAAAUUAUAUGUGGAAAUGUACCAGUAGCUAAUGGAAGUGUUUCAGUAGGAGAGUCAUGCGCUCCGUGUAGGUAAUCCUGGUCAACAACUUGGCCAAAGCAUUUUGAACUCACUGAUGUUUCCAAACAGGCAGCUCCACAUAGAUUACAUUACAGUAUUCCGAAUGGGGUGUAAUCAAGAGAUGGGUCACUGCAGCCAGAGUUUGAGAAAGUCUCUUAUUCUUGGAAAAGUUUUUUUUGGCUGAACAACAACUCUCCAAUAUUCUUAAUAGUGUGCUUGUAAAACUGAUAAAAACUGAACUGGGAAUAAUUUGAGUUGUCUUUUGAAAAAAGCAACGCUUGGGAAAUCUUUUCUUGUUUUUGUUCAACAACAGUUACUGUGUGUUGUUAAAAGCAGUGUUUGCAAAGGUGUUAGGGAUUUUUCUCUGUUCAAGGCAACAUUUGGAAAAGUUGCCUUUCAAUCAGAGGAAUGUUUUCUCAUCCUUAAUUGAAAUGGCAUGCUCAAAGCCAUUGCAAUAAAUUUUUAAUGUGUCAUGUAUAAUGACAUCAGCAGGAGCCAUCCUUCAGUUUCAGGUUUUGGCCUUAAAAUUUCAGGGCUUCAGAUACUCCUGACCUGUAGUGACUGUAGUCAUUACGUUUGUAGCCUUUGGAAAACCACCCAAAAUAUAUGGAGAAUGAAUUUGAAAACUUAACAUCUUUAGAAAAACAAGAAUAGUUUUAUUUCAUUCAUUACCAAGUCAACCACUUUUGAAAAUCAUGUUUGUAUCAGAAUUUGGAAUUUGGAAGGGAUACGUUUUGGAUGAUAAGUCCCAGAAUCCUCCAGGCAGCAUUGGCAGCUGUGCUUUUAAUAAGUAAAAAAAGGUCCAUGCUCGUUUGUUCUACCCAAAACAACAGUUCUUUGAAGACUGAUUGAUUGUGGCAUUUCUGAACUCAACCAAUUUCCAUCCACCUAAUGGAUUACUUUAUCUCAUGAUAUUGGGUCAAGCCAACAGGUUAGGCUAUAAUCAAUUUGUUCAUCUUUAGUCUUUAAGGACUUUAUCACAUGGAGGUUAAGAAGCUGGGGGACAG
rnacentral:lncRNA from 1 species